UGUAGUUCUUGUUUGUCUUAGGGAUGGAAAUGACAUCUGCCAAAAAAAUGACACCACAAAUCAGCAACCAAAAUAGGUGUAUAGGGACCACAUGCUGUUAUAUUUUUUUGAAGUGUCUUGCAGAAGCCAGAUAUAAAAUAAUUGAAUUGUAAUUUAAAGGGAAGAUUGACUUGUAUCUGGUCCUUUAACAUAA